UCCUUUUAGCUCAGUUGGUUAGAGCUAACGACUCAUAACCGUUCGGUCGCUGGUUCGAGUCCAGCAAGAACCA
rnacentral:tRNA from 1 species